UAAUCAAACUGGCCAUGGCUCUCUCUCUUAUUUACUAUUGGAGCCUCAUCUCUCUCUAUCUCUCUGUCUUUCCAUUCUGUCUUCAUCCCCACCAUCUUAAAUAGGACCCCACCAUCACUUUCUUCUUCUCUCAAUUAACCCUUUCCCCUUGAAGGGCAGCACUUAGCCUCCAAACCAAAGCCACCACAAAGCAGUGUAGCUCGAUCGAAUGAGGGAGAGCUUUUGGCAAAGAUUUUUAUUUCUUUUUCUCGGCUAAUCAUGAUGGAUGUGAUGAGGUGGUUUGGUUUCAUAGGGGUUUGUCAAAGGGUUCCUAACAGCGUUCAUUGGCAUUCUGUCCACCUCCUUGUUCAUCUCUCUUAUUAUCCGCCUCUCCCAUAGUCUAUGUCUAUGCGGUACGAAUGGAGGUGGGCAUGCUGCCAACAGAGCUUUGUUAGGUUCUCUUUGUGAAACCCUUUAUGAUGUCUGGUGAUCUCUCUCUUGCUCUUGUCCUCCGAGGUUGUCGAUCGGUGGACCGGUAUAUCUUCAGCUCAUAGCUAUAUCGAAGUGGAUCUGCGAUAAAGGGUAUUCUUCGAUUCCAUCGGACACACAACACAUGCUUUGUUUUAUUUCCUUUUGAGCCUCUUGGACUGGAGAUGUUCACUCUUUUGAAGUUCUUUACGGUUUUUUCCUUUUCCAGAAAAGGCAGGUAGUCUUUGGAGAAGUUAAGGUUAACCGGACACACACACACACACACACAUAUGCAUCUUGCUUUUCUCAUCUGGGUUUACGCUAGAAUCUUCAUUUCUAAGUUCAUUUUCCUUCGUCUUUCUGUGUAUAUGGAAUUGAUCGUGACUAUGAAGUCAAUGAGAUGACUCAUCAAUGGUUCAAGAUCCAUCAUGUGCGUGAGAGGCUGAGGCAUCUUCUUUGGCCUUGAAAGUUGAAACCCUAGUUUUUUGUGCAAACAUCCUGAUUUCCUGUUGUUAAUUUGAUUGAUUAUUUAAUGACAUUAAACAUGGAGUUUUUAAUAUCCUUUCUAUACAUAUUUAAUGUUUGAGUAAA